GUGGACAGUAGAUGUUGAUGAUGCGUACAUUGGUUGAUUUAACAUCUGUGAUUGUGAUGCAUGGACUUGUUUGGGUGACAAGGCUUAUGUCAAGCGUUUUGUUGAGUACUACGGUAACUGAACCUGGUGCUGCUUCAGAUGAAGUGUAGUAGUACCGAAUUCCGGAGCUGGUCAUAAUUUCGACCUUGGCGGUGGCUCUUGUAUAAGUAGAAUAUCGUAUCUGCUCGUAAUGGCGUUGUGAAUUAGUGAGUUAUAACAUGAAUAUGUUUUGGCAACGUUGGCCUGGAGAACUCUGAUACUCUUAUGAGAUUUCUUUUCUUUUUUACUGUUUAGAUCCAUAAUCAGUCAUCGACUUGGCGAUAGACCUCAUUCUAUUGGCGACUAGGCAUUUGCUGGAGAAAGUGUGAUGGCUGGACAGUCAGUACUUCGAUGGUUGUCUGUGCAAUAUCCGCAGAUUGUUUUUCGCCAUCCUGAUUGCACUUGGAUGCCAUGUGCCCGAAGCCUUGGCAUCUGUAGCAUUGUCUAUGGCUGGAGUAGCUGAAGACCGGAAGCUUCCUGAAUUCAGUUUUAAUGGUUUUCCUGCGCAUUAACUCUUGAUACAAGUCAGGCUCGCAGGUGAAUACGGCAGCUGUUUGCCUGUAUCCGCGUUUUCGGAGAAAGGCUGGUUUGAGAGCUCCAUGGCGCAUUGAUGGUAUUUCACUAUUGAGGUCGACGAUUUCAUUGAUGAGGACUUCAGCUGGCUUGUCGUCGCCGACAUCUGGAAUUCGAAUGAGCGGGUUUCUUUUGGUCAUCGCCUUGGUCUCCAAGACUUUUUGUUUCUCUGUUUCCUUUCGGAUUUUGUCAGUAUCCUCUAUUUUCACAAAUAAUAGCUACUCUGGAUCCUGAUAGUCUUUGCAGAGAAGCAAUCGUUACGCCUAGGCUGCGAGGACUAAUUGUGUCUCUGAUGUACUUUAGUAGUUCAUCGCCGGUGACUUCCGGAUCUUUGUGUUUAACAAUAAAACAUGUUCCAUCAGUGGGUA